rnacentral:rRNA from 1 species
UACGGAGGAUGCAAGCGUUAUCCGGAAUCAUUGGGCGUAAAGCGUCCGUAGGUGGCUGUUCAAGUCUGCGGUCAAAGCACAAGGCUUAACCUUGUAAAGGCCGUGGAAACUGGCGACCUAGAGUGCGGUAGAGGGUAGUGGAAUUCCCGGUGUAGCAGUGAAAUGCGUAGAGAUCGGGAGGAACAUCCGUGGCGAAGGCGACUACCUGGACCAGCACUGACACUGAUGAGCGAAAGCCAGGGGAGCAAACAGG